GUCUCUUGUGUUCUAGGAGGAGUCUUGAUCUUUCGAGAGGCUGAUCGAUCCCCCCUCUCCGGCUCUAGGUUCCGCCUUUUAUAUCACAAGGGGCCGGCCGGAGAUACAAUUGGGAACUGGGUAAAAGGUAAAGAGGGAGAUGGUAAAAAGGCCUGGCGGGAAAGAGGGCAGGGGCCCAUGGCGCCCGAUGUCCUGCCGACCCUGAACGCGUGCCGUCGUGCAUGCUCGAAGGGGUCGCCGCCGGAUGCCAAGUGUUGCAGCUCCUCGCAGGUAGCUACUUCGACGUUCGUAGGUAUCAGGAUAGAUCAUGAUGAGGGGGUUUCGUCGUCUCCUUGCCGUCCGUUAGGGAGGACGGUGGAUACCGCCGCUCUGACGAUGGCUUGUUAGAGAGGGGGAGCUUCACGCCUGUUUUGCCGCUUGCGUGGGACCCGAGGACGGGGCCGUCCCUUACUCCGCUCCGGUCGCCGCAGAUCAUGAGUACUUCGUGACGAAUGGGGGCUGGCCGCCAGUACUGUAGCUCGUACAGGAUGGUCGUGCGCGGGUACUUGCGCCGGGUCGCGUGGGGGGCGCGGUCGCCCUGCGCUCUGCCUUCUCUGCGGCGCAUUUAUGGUGAGGCCGACGGGGGGCCCCACCGGAUUUGUCCUGUCUAUGCGGAACGUAUCCGAGGAGGACUCUGACCCGUGGGCCUCAUCGUGUCCGACUCCCUCGCUCGGGGUCGGGCGAGGCGGAACCUUUGUGGUACGGGGUCGGGGGCUCCCGACCCUGGGGGCGCGGUCGGUCGAGGCGGAAACCCUGCAGAGGGAGGUCGGGCGCUCCCGGUCCUGACGCUGGGGUCGGUCGAGGCGGAGACUUGAUCACACUUUGGUGGGCCCGGGCCUUCAGGUUUGUUUCCUUAAGCUGCGUAUUAGGGGGCCGUUGAUAUUUCCCCCCAACACAAUUCGUCAUCGACUUGCUCCAAUGGCAUUCAAAGGUGCUUGCUUUGAUGUUGGAACACACAGCGACGACCAUG
rnacentral:lncRNA from 1 species